CUCAUCUCAGAACAAUGGCUAAGGAAUUCUCAAAGGCCAGAGAGAGUCCCAUGGAGUUUGCUAAAGAAUUCGGGAUCAUUCCCUCUACUGACCAACCUAGCUUCUUAGACCUUUAUCAGCUAGCCCAAAUAUUGGUGGGCCCAGCAGAUGUGCAUCAGUGGUUUAAGACAGCCCAAUGGAAAAAUCCUUUGGAGCACAUAAAUCACUUAAAGCUUAGAAAGGAUGAGCCUGAAGUCCACCUACAAGAAGCCAGAAAACUUGGGGAGGCCUUAUUAGAGGCUAUUCCCAAGGCUUUUCCAAAGCCUGUCAAUAGAGGAAACAUUCAGGUUUGCACUCAAAAGGUGGGAAAAUGCAUUUUUGGUCCUUAUAAUGAGUUUCUAACUACAUUUGAAGCCAACUUUGGCUUUUCUCCAGAUAACCCUGAUGCAUCCUUGGUUUCUAGAUGUUUUCCUUUCAGGUACUCAACCAAAAGGCAAAGGGUAAGAAGUUGUUAUUUUUGUAACAAGCCUGGACACCUGAAGAGAGAUUGUAGGGAGCUGCUAAGUAAGUUAAAACAGCACCAAGGAAGGCAUGAUCAUGCUUCCUGAGAGGUUUUCCGGGACUCUGCAUCAAGAAGGCUCAAACUUAUAGGAGCAGAGCAGCCAGAGUAGCAAAAGAAGGAUUUACCAACAAGUGCUGAGCAGAUGUAACCUUCCUUGUUCAAUGAUCUGACUUCAUUUUCCUGUGUGAUUUAUCACGUUUGCAAACUGGCAUAAUCUCAAGCAUUUUGUUGUUAAUUUAGAUUUUUCUUAUUUGUAUGUAUUUCAGAUAAGGAGAAGAUCAUUUAAUUGAGUUCUGAGUAAUUAUCUUGCUAUAAAGAGUGUAGAUGGAGGUGGUUAUUUGAAUAUUCAGCUAGGAAGACUCAUUUCCCAUUGUAAAAAAGAGGAUAUACAUGCAUGCAAAGGACAUCAUCUGUCAGUCAAAAGGAACAUUCCAUUUCGAAUGUUACGGGGAAAAACAGAUGGAGCUAAGCCAACAGCUAAACUGGACUGGACCCUUUGGCUUCUGAAGGAGUGGUGGAGAAGAAGUGGGGGUUUUCUGGCUUCUGGCUAAGUUUUGGCUGCUUGUGGCUGAUGGUGAAGACCCUGGAGCUUUUGCUGACUGAUUGAGGUUACCUGGCUCGUUAGAAGAAAAGAAGACAUCCAGUUGUCCUCCUAAUCUCUCUGACUGUCCCUGCUAUUGACUGAUUGCCAUUUCCCCAAUAUCCUCAUAACACUCAUUUUAGAGAAUAGGGAACAAUAUCCCUCUUAUCUUAUCCUCUACCCUUGUCCUGUCUUCCCCAAAUAAACCCUUACUUGAGAAAUCA
rnacentral:lncRNA from 1 species